GAUAACCUCUGGCGGCGUGCUUAACACAUGCAAGUCGAACGAAGUUUUUCUUUCGGGAGGAACUUAGUGGCGGACGGGUGAGUAACGCGUGGGUAACCUGCCCUGUACAGGGGGACAACAGCUGGAAACGGCUGCUAAUACCGCAUAAGCCCUUAGCACUGCAUGGUGUAUAGGGAAAAGGAGCAAUCCGGUACAGGAUGGGCCCGCGUCUGAUUAGCCAGUUGGCAGGGUAACGGCCUACCAAAGCGACGAUCAGUAGCCGAUCUGAGAGGAUGUACGGCCACAUUGGGACUGAAACACGGCCCAUACUCCUACGGGAGGCAGCAGUGGGGAAUAUUGCACCAUGGAAGAAACUCUGAUGCAUCCACCCCGCCCGAGAGAAAAAAUAUUUCGGUGUGUAAAGCUCUAUCAGCAGGGAAGAAAAUGACGGUACCUGAUUAAGAAGCACCGGCUAAAUACGUGCCAGCAGCCGCGGUAAUACGUAUGGUGCAAGCGUUAUCCGGAUUUACUGGGUGUAAAGGGAGCGUAGGUGGCAAGGCAAGCCAGAAGUGAAAACCCGGGGCUCAACCGCGGGAUUGCUUUUGGAACUGUCAUGCUAGAGUGCAGGAGGGGUGAGCGGAAUUCCUAGUGUAGCGGUGAAAUGCGUAGAUAUUAGGAGGAACACCGGAGGCGAAGGCGGCUCACUGGACUGUAACUGACACUGAGGCUCGAAAGCGUGGGGAGCAAACAGGAGUAGAUACCCUGGUAGUCCACGCGGUAAA
rnacentral:rRNA from 1 species